UACAGAGGGGGGCAAGCGUUAUUCGGAAUUAUUGGGCGUAAAGGGCGCGUAGGCGGCUUGGCAAGUGGAUGGUGAAAAUCCCUCGGCUUAACCGAGGAACUGCCGUCCAAACUGCUUAGCUUGAGACCGGGAGAGGUGAGUGGAAUUCCCAGUGUAGCGGUGAAAUGCGUAGAUAUUGGGAGGAACACCAGUGGCGAAGGCGGCUCACUGGACCGGUACUGACGCUGAUGCGCGAAAGCGUGGGGAGCAAACGGG
rnacentral:rRNA from 1 species